GUGGACUCGGGUAGGGCUGCUCGUUACCCACUCGGCUUCGCUGCCUGGCCCAGUCGGAAUCCGGAGGUGGUAGUGCCCCUGCCUGGGAACCUGGGGCUCUAGAAGGCAGUCUUCGUGGGGAUUGGGACAGGACGACUCCUUCCCCACAGUCCCACAUUAGAACUGGGUCUUUUAAAUUCUGACUCUGCCAGCAAUUAAAAGUGCAGAUCGGAGGAGCCAGGCGGUGGUGGCGCAUGCCUUUGAUCCCAGCACUCAGAAGGCAGAGGCAGAUUAAAAGAGAGACCAGGAAAGGUCACACAUUUGAGCAGGUACUGACCAAGAAUGGCUGAGAACCUUGAAGGAGGAAGAAUGAAAGCGUCCACCGCAUACAGCAGUGAUCGAGCUGCUGAGGUGCCACUGCUAAUGAGAUUGUCCAGAGUAUACUCCUGAACCUUAAAGCAAUCUUGUUAAAAGACCAAGCCACAGUGUCUGGAGAUAACAUCAUGCAGAUAGGGCAGAUGACUGAAAAUAUUUACAAUGAUGAAGUGUCAGAUGUCACAACAUCAAACUGGAGGGACAAGGAUCUUAAACUCAAAGUAUGAGGUGUUUCUACUGAAUGUAUUGCUACGUGAAUGCUUGAUUUAUCAAGCGCCAAAAAGGCACUGUAUAGUAGGAAAUGUAAGCGGGAAGGCUUAUGGCAUUCUUUACCCUCUGAUUCUAGCACUUUCAAGUGAGCUGUUGCAUACUGUAACAUUGUAGCUAUUCGGGGAGAAAAAGGAAUGUUGCUUAAGAGAGCAUCAUUGUUUUAAGAUACGCAUUGCUGGGUAUUGCCUUUGAUUCUACUGUUUUAAGCCCUCAUUUUCUCAAAUUGUAAGUGCUUGCUGAAGUUCCCAAAUAUGCAAGGAUAACUUACACUUUUUCCUUCCAACAUUUCUUGAUUGGCUUUGCAGAAAUAAAGUUUAAAAAGAAAAAAAAAAGACCAAGCUAGAUGAUACAAGCUUGAAAGCCCUGGCUGUUUUGAAGCUGACAAAGCCUUUCAGACCGAGACCAAAAGCAUGACAUCCCUGGUAUGAGUUCAUAUUCCUGUGAUCUUUACCCAACUGGGAGCAUGAAAAGAGAGCAGGGAAACAAGCUAGGGGCUCAGGAGUUGAGCCACUGGGCCCAUGCAAUACACAAGGAAAAGACCAAAAGAGGUUAAUAUCAAUGUUGCUUACAGUAAGCCUACAGUUUGGGGGUACUUAAGACAGACUAGAAAACUGGAGUGUCAGUUCAGAAACCUGGUAUAGAACUCCAACUUUAUAGGGAAAAACAGCAAUGCAAACCUGAAUCCUCCUACUACCCUUAGUAGCCUCUCAUAAAACAGAGAGCCAAUGAAAGGCAUAUGGGCACUACAGAGGCUUUAGACAUCUAAAGGUAAGUUGCCUAUGCCAGAAAAUAACUCAACUUGAAC